AACGCACCUUGCGCCCUUUGGUAUUCCGAAGGGCAUGCCUGUUUGAGUGUCAUGAAACCUCACCCCACUUGGGUUUUUGCCUGAGCGGUGGUGUAUUGGGUGUUGCCUUGCUAAAGGCUCGCCUUAAAGACAUAAGCACCUUGGAUGUAAUACGUUUCAUCCUUCUGGGUGGCUGAUAACCCCACAUAUUCAUGAUCUGGCCUCAAAUCAGGUAGGGCUACCCGCUGAACUUAA
rnacentral:misc_RNA from 4 species